GCGAGUCAACCCAGAUUGUGAACGUCACUUCCUCUCUCCGUCGGCAAGCGGUCAUUUUACGUUACUCGUUAACCCACCGACAGAGCGGUAGGAGAGAUCGUUUGUUUGAAUCGGAUUGGAUGAUAAAUCCCUUUAUCCUAUUUUUUCGCAUCACUUUUACUUUUGUGCGACUCAACUAUACUACAACACUGUAAAAAAUUCAACUCACAAAAAGUUAGACUAAUGAUUAUCUUUUAGUUAACUGGACAAAUAAAUGCAAAAAAGUUGGCUUAACCAGUGAAAAGAAGUUGGUUCAACAACCGUUGGACUAACCUAUUAUUACUUGUAAAUUCGAUUAAUAAAUGCAAGUUAACAACCAAAGAAGUUGGGUUGGAGGUUGGAGCAUGCGCAUUGUAACGAUCACGAGGUUGGCGCAUGUGCAAUGAAGCGCGCGCCAACGGACAGAUUCAGACUGCUGGACGGAGACAUUUUAGCAUCUUCGUGCGAGACUAAUGGAUCUACUCACAGCCAACGUGUUUCUACUCAAAACCAUCGUUUUAGACUGAGAUCAGAGCCAAUAAACAUCUGCAAAAAAAAAUUCCUGUGUCCUUCGAAGCCUGGUUAGGCUCUCACGUGUUUUGCAGACUACUCGACGGUGUCGACAAGACUGCAAUCGUCUCAUUUAAAUUAUGUAAUGAGUUCAAACGCAUCACUAGUGUGGACCUCCUCAGACAUUCAGAGCAUCAAUACACCAGCACACUCCGCAACUCCUCAAGCUAUACAGAGCAAGAAAGGGGGCAUUUGGAACAGAAAUGGAAGAUCUUCUCAACAAGCUUGAUCAGCAGACCACAAAUAUUGUGACUCACAGAAAGCAAACCGUCCUGGAAGGUCUCCCCAUGUUUCUACGAGAAGAUUCCUCUGUACUUUUUAAAACAUGCCUGGACAAGACUCCAGAGGACAGACAGACCAGAGGGAUGAAGGUGGGAAUCCUUAUUGUAAUUGAAGAUGAUGCCCCCCCAGCACACUGCCCAGUGUCACAAAAUUUGCUGUUGUGUUGGAGGAGGUAUUGUACUGAGAGAUGCUCCAGACUUGCAGUCUGCACUUGCAUACCUGUUUUGCCUUCUGUUUGCCUUGGACUUUGAGUACCCAAAGCAACGGAAAUACACUUUUGAGGUUAUUGAGAAAGUGUUUAUGGAGAUGGGCACUCAUUGCUCUGCAGACCCUCAAAACUAAGCUAUUACUGUGAGAUGCAUUUGUGAGAUGUUUGUAUCUUACAUUUAAGAUGCAAGUAGAUAGUUUUUUUUUUUUGCAAUUUGCUUGCAUUUUGUUUGACUCAUUUUUGUUUAAACUGUUAACUUGAGGUUGUGAUAAACAUUGGUGCCACUGUUUCAGCACUUACAGCACAAACGUUAACUUGCACUUAUGGUAUAAAGCUGCUCAGUUGUAACAUAUUCAGUGUUUACAAUUUAAAAUGUAAAACAUUUAAAAGAUAGAACAUUUAAAGUAUUUAUGACCAGUUGAAUGUUAACACUUUGAAUGUAAAAGUACUCUUUAAAAAAAAAAUAUUCUUCUGCCCUACUCUUUUUUUAUUUCUUUUUUAACGAUAAGGAGUAUGGCUAAAGUGGUAAACAUUGUUUGUUUUUUCCAUUUCCUGCUGGUUUAAAAUAAAAACCUGGACCAAAAUAUCAAGCCUGUAGUAUCUUAAUUUUUUAACCUUGUAAUCAACAUCUUUAGUCAACUGAACAUACUUUAUUAAGUCAAGUGAAAAUAACAUUAAAAGUUG